rnacentral:rRNA from 1 species
AAGGAAUAUUGGUCAAUGCCCGCAAGGGUGAACCAGCCAUUCCGCGUGGAGGAUGAAGGCCCUAUGGGUUGUAAACUUCUUUUAGAUGGGAAGAAAAUGCUAGAUGUAUCUGGUACUGACGGUACCAUCAGAAUAAGCACCGGCUAACUCCGUGCCAGCAGCCGCGGUAAUACGGAGGGUGCGAGCGUUAUCCGGAAUUACUGGGUUUAAAGGGUGCGUAGGCGGAUGAUUAAGUCUAAGGUGAAAGUUUGUCGCUUAACGAUAAAAUUGCCUUGGAUACUGGUUAUCUUGAAUAAGGAUGAGGAUGGCGGAAUGUGGCAUGUAGCGGUGAAAUGCAUAGAUAUGCCAUAGAACACCAAUUGCGAAGGCAGCUAUCUGGUCUUUUAUUGACGCUGAGGCACGAAAGCGUGGGGAUCGAAC